rnacentral:lncRNA from 1 species
CAGAAUACAAAAGGUACCAGCUCAUCCUUGGAGUGGUAAUUUUGGACAGGCUGGUAAGCGGCAGUUAGAAGAACAGCAACAACAACAACAACAAAUGACAAAGACUGCACACCCAGAUACAUGUCCAAACAAGACCCUAGCAGUUUAACAGAUCCAUCUCCAAUUUUCAAAACGGAUUAAAGUUUUUCUUGGGGAAUCAUGGAAGAAAAAAAACCAAGCACAGUAACCAAGAAAAGCAUAUCUGAAUCCUUCAUGAGCACUGGAAGUUCAUUUGGUUCUAUUCAAUUUCUUCUACCAUAAUAAUCUCAAUAGCAUUAAAAAGGCUUCUAAACAGAA